rnacentral:lncRNA from 1 species
UGAAGUGUAACCUCCUCAAGAUGGCUCUCCAUUUUCCAGUUGAGAAAUACAAAACACUUUUUAAACACAGUUCACUGUGCAGUGUCUGCAUCAGUUAAGUUCUAUUUGCUUUUCUGAUGUACAGGUUUUUCUGUGCCAAAUCUGUCAGUUGUGUUUCUCUCUGUUUGUAUUAUCCCUCCCCUCUGAGGUAAACCAGCCCUGCUGCUGCUGCUGCUGCUGCUGCUGCAAUGGUUUUGGCUCUAACAUACUCUUUCUUAUUCUUUGUCCAACGCACCCAAAUUUCUGAGUUUCUAAGAAACUCUGACUGCCUGAUCCUGAAUUUCAGUGAAUUCCCCCUGUCACCCACCUCACUGAGAAACUAUUCCCAUUGCCAUGGAGCAAUUGGAAAUGGAACAUCCCUCUAUCUGCCAUUCUAAUGUUUGUUUUUAAAAUGGGUAAAUGGGGGCAGGGGAUAUUGCUCUAUAGUAGUGCUUGCCUGUCACAAGGAAGGCUGUGGGUUCCUGCAAUCCCCAGGACAACCUAAUUAAUUAAUUAAGGUAUAAGGGGCUUCAAACAAAGUCUUUAGAAACUGGGUAAAGUUAAGCAAUGUAUUCCUAGAAUAUCCAGAAACAAAUGUGGCUUCCUAGAAUAUCCAGAAACAAAUGUGGCUAUUCUUUUAUUUUGUAAUUGGCAUAAAAAUAGCAAUAACACCCCCACCACAGUGAGUAAUUAUGAUAUAUGGAAUAGUGAAAAGAUGAAUGACAGAAAUGUUAUAGCCACAAGAGGAAGGAAAUGGGUAGUCUUUAGUGUUGGGUACCUAUACUACUUGUGAAGCAGUAGAGCAUUAUGUGAAAGUAGUAUAAACUUGUUGUAAAUGUACAUUACAAACUCUUGGAUGACCACUAAUUUUUUAAAAGAAAUAAACUAAGAGAUAGCUGAGUCAGAUAAAAUGUUUGUUUAAAAAAACUGUCAGGCCAUAAGAACAGGAUCAAAAGAACUACAAGACAAAAAACAAAGUGACAAUAGUAAGUCCUUACAUAUCAAUAAUUAUUUUAAAUAUAAAUAGAUUAAAUUUGUCCAUAGUGAGAUGUAGAGUAGCUGAAUUAAUUUUAAAAAUUAAGAUCCAUCUGAUGCUAUAUAAAAGAAGCUCAUUUAGCCUUAAGGACACACAUAAGCUGAAAAUGGAGAGCUUGAAAGAUAUUCCAUGCAGUGGAAACCAAUAGGGAGAUAUGGUGGCUAAACUUAUGUCAAACAAAAUGGACUUUAUGUUUAUCUGGUAGAGAUAUUUGUGAAACCAUGUUUUCUGCAGCAUUAUUCACAAGAGUUAAGAUAUGGAAAUAACAUAAGCAGCCCUAAGAGAUGAAUAUUGUGAUCUGUGUGUGCACGCACACAUGCGCACAUACAUUAGGCAUGCUUUAAAAAGGAAGAUUUUGUUGUUUUAAAUGACACAGAUGAAACUGGAGGAUAUUAUGCUAAAACAAGUGAAACAAGUCAAACACAGAAAGAAAAAUACUGUGUGAUCUCAUAUGUAAAAUCUGGAGGAAAAAAUGUGUACAUUGAAACAAAGAGUAAAAUGAAUGUUGGUAGAAUGAUAAGAGGUAGGUCAAAGGAUACAAAGCUGGAUUUACAUAAAAUGAAUAAGUCUAGAGAUCUAAUGUACAUCAUGGGUAAUAUAGUUAAUAAUAUUGGAUUUUUGUUGAGAACUUGCUAAGAAAGUAUAUUUUAGGUGCUCUUACCACACAUACCCACACACAAAGGUAACUGUAUGAGAUGAUGGCUGUUAAUUAGCUUGACUAUAGAAACCAUUUCACUAAGUAUAUAAAAACCUCAUGCUAUAAUUGUAAAUAUACAUGAAACUGAAAAUGAAAUAGAAUGUCAAAAUUAAAAAAAUAUAUAUAUUUUUUUAAAAAGUCUUGUUUAAAAUCAAUUCAAAAAAUGGGAAGAAAAAUAAAGACUAGAUACAAUGAAUAAUAAACUGUUGAAGAUAUAAUGGCUAUAAUCCAAAUAUAUAACUUCAUUUUAAAAAUCACUUUUAAAGUGAUUUAAAUAAAUUCACUAAUUAAAAGACAGACUAUGAGAAUGGAUCGAAUAAAAUAAAAAUAAAAUAAAAAAGAUUGCUAGCUGGAUAUGAUGACAUACACCUUCAGUCCAAACUACUCAAGAGAUGGAGGCAGGAAGAUCACUUGAGUCCAGGAGUUGGAGGUCAGCCUGAGCAACAUAGUAAGAUCCCAUUUCAAAAAAGUUCUAAAAAAUUUUUUAAAUGUCACCUACAAGCUACAUUAAAUAUAAUGAUACAAAUAAACUAAAAAUAAAGGGAUGUAUAAAAUGUAUUAUUCUAACACUAAUCUAACAGAAAACAGACGUAGUUCUUAGUUUCAGACAAAUCAGCCUUCAAAAUAAGAAAAAUUAUCAGGGAUAAAAAGGGAAUUCCAUAAUAACAAAGGGAAGGGUCAAUUCUCCCAGAAGACACAAUAAUCUUUAAGAUGUAUAUAUUUUAAAAGAGUAUCAAAAUAUAUAAGGCAAAAACUGCAAUGAGAAACAGCUGAAUUCACUAGUAAUGUUGAAGACUUCAACACCUCCCUUUCAUUAAUUGACAGAUUUAGCAGGUAGGAAAAUCAUCAAGAAUAUCUUUGACUUGAGCAACACCAUCAUUUAACUUGAUCCAACUAACAUUGAAAUAAUUCACCCAGCAAUGGAAUGAAUACACAUUUCUCUCAAAGUUCCCAUGGAAUAUUUACCAAGAUAGAUCAUAUUCUGAUCCAUAAAACACACCUUAACAACUAUAAAAUAGAAAUUCCCCAUAACUGAAAAAAAAAUAGAAACAAUACAAUGUCUGCUCUCAGACCUCAAUGGAAUAUAAACAGAAAUCAAAAACAGAAAAAGAGCUGUGAAAUCCCAAAAUAUUUGGAGACUAAACAACAUACUUUUAGCACAUGGAUCAAAAAAGAAUUAUCAAGUGAGGGAAAAAAAAAAGAAGUGGGUCACAUUAGAUUGGGUAGAGAGAAGUGAUGGGAGGGGAGGGGAGGGGAAGGGGGGGAAAGGAAGGACAGUAGAAUGAAAUAGACAUUAUUAUUGCUGUGGGUAUAUACGUGACUGCAUGACCAAUGUAAUUCUGCAACCUGUACACUCAGAAAAAUGAGAAAUUAUAUCCCAUCUGAUUCAAAUGUAUGAUAUGUCAAGAUCAUUGUACUGUCAUGUGUAACUAAUUAAAACAAAUAAAAAAUGUUAAAAAAAGAAUUAUCAAGAUAAAUAUUUUAAAUUAAAUAAAAUAAAAAUACAGCAUUAGGGGCUGAGGCUGUGGCUCAGUGGUAGAGCUCUCACCUAGCACAUGCGAGGCUCUGGGUUCCAUCCUCAGUACCACAUAAAAAUAAAAACAAAAAUAAAGGUAUUGUGUUCAAUUACAAUUUGACACCCUCUCCUUUCCUUUCCUGUUUGAUGAGGGCUUUCCAGUAAUGACAGCCCCUUUCUCUGCUUGUCUUCUGUAUCCACAGCUUCUCCAUUGUCUGCUUCAAGACUGCCUCCUCUUAUCUACCCUCCCUUGACCACAGGAGAUCUGUGCUCUUCAGGAAAAUGCCUCCAUAGAGCCUUUGGGAUUGUUGUUUGUCUAUACAAAUCUAGUGCUGCAGCCCUGAAGUCCCAGGACUGAGAAAUGUAAAAACAUCCUUUAAUAUCUGAGCAAGAUAACCUUCACCAAAUAUUUCCAGAUGUGAAGGGGUUAAUAAAAAAAAUGGCACAUAGAAUGUAUUCUUCAGAAAUGGUGUAUAAAAAUAAAGGCUAAGAAACUUUUCCAGAUUAAAGGAGACUAAAGACACACAGCAACUAAAUGCAAUGCAUGCUUAUACACAUGAUUUUGUAAUAUAGAUUUAAAAUAAAAAUAAAGCUAGAUACUACUGGAUAAACUGACACAAACAAAUGAAAUAUGGAUGAGAUAUCAGCUUAAAAUUUUAUGCCAGUUAAAUUUACCAAAGGGGAUAAUUCUUAAUAUGUGAUGAAAUAUUAAGAAAAACUACCUAUAUGACCUAUAUUCUCAAAUAUUCUGGAAUAAAUGUGUAUUUUUUGUGGAUAUAUGUCAUACAUAAAAUGAGAGAUUGCUAAUGGAUCAAAAUAUUAACAAUAGGUAAAUCUGUAUAGCAGGUACACUAUUUUCCCAUUUGUGCAACUUUUCUGCAAGUUUAAUUACUUUCAUAGCGAUAUUUUUCAAAUGGACUACCAACUAUGUUGUUCUCAUAUUUAACCUUUGAGAUUUUAAAUUCCCUCAACUGUUCCCACUGCACCCGACCCUCAGUAAUGCUCAGUACCCGCUUUAAAAUACUUGUCUCAGGUUCUACCAUGGACCUAGGAUUCUUUCUCACAUGUAAAGCAACUAAUAUUUCAGUAGAGUUUUACAAAAUACUAGGGAAGAGAACAAAACAUAUAUAUUUUUUAAUGAUACACAACGUAAAACCAAAGAGCCAAAAUUUUAAGAAACUAUGUUUACAUCAUAUAACUCCUAUUUUCUU